CAAGGCUAAGGCUGCUUCCCCUGUCUGGGAUGUGCCUGUGCUCUGUAUCCAUGGCCUUCGGGGCAUUUAUUUGGGGUUCUGGCCACUGUGGGGAGGGGAUUUAUGCUCUCCUCCUUGUGCUGUUUUACCCAGAGGAGCGGAGGGUGGCCGUGCCCGACACUUUGCCAUGUAAACCUCCCCGGCCUCGCACACCGCAGCACAGACAGAUGUCGGCACAGCCCCGGACCUGCAGAACGCUCUAAGUGCUCGGUGCCACCACAUUGAGGCCUCGAUGUUUGCUCCAUGUAAUGGCAGAGAAAGCUCUGCCCAUUGCUGCCGCCCCAAAAUGAGCAAGAAGCGACUGGAGGGAAGGCGUAGCAC
rnacentral:lncRNA from 1 species